GGACCUUCGGGGACUCGGUCACACAAACUGAAGGCACCGUUCUUGUCAAAGAAGGAGCACCUUUGGUUAUUGAGUGUACAUAUGAGACUAUCCUAUUCCCUUAUCUCCUCUGGUAUAUUCAAUACCCCAAUGAAGCACCGAAGUUAUGGCUGAGAGAUAAAACAUCAGGGGGUGGCCAAGAUGAAGGGGAAAAGCAGGGCUUCUUUGCUGACCAUGUCCAAGACAAGAAAUCCUUCGAUUUGAAGAAAAGCUCCAGCGAAGUGAACGACUCUGCGGUCUAUUACUGCGCCUUCAGAGACACAGUGAUUGCAACCAGCAGGGGAGCUGAACAAGAAUCCACCGAGAGAGGAUGA